rnacentral:rRNA from 1 species
AGUGAACGCUGGCGGCGUGCCUAACACAUGCAAGUCGAGCGGUUUCAGGGUAGCAAUACCUUGGAAUAGCGGCGAACGGGUGAGUAACACGUGGGUAAUCUCCCCUCGGGUGAGGAAUAAGCCUUCGAAAGGGGGUCUAAUACCGCAUGACACUCCGGGACUCAAGUCUUCGGAGUCAAAGCCGAAAGGCGCCUGAGGAUGAGCCUGCGUCCUAUUAGCUAGUUGGUAGGGUAAUGGCCUACCAAGGUUAUGAUGGGUAGCCGGCCUGAGAGGGUGUACGGCCACACUGGGACUGAGACACGGCCCAGACUCCUACGGGAGGCAG